GCGACCCCAGGAUGGGCGGGAUGACCCGCUGAGUUUAAGCAUAUCAAUAAGCGGAGGAAAAGAAACU
rnacentral:rRNA from 18 species